CGCAGGACCAGAGGACGCUCCGCAGGCACACCACCGAAGGCACCCUGCCUGCCGCCCUCCCGGCGACCGGCAGAGCACCCCUCACGGCAUGCCGCCCCAAGCACGCGCUUGGCGUGCUGGGGCCUGGAGCCGCCCCUGCUGCUGCCAUCUCUGCUAGGAAGAAUGAGAGGAUUCGCAGCUGUACUGCCUGCCGUGCCCGUUCACAUCAGCACAGUCUUAGCACGAUGCCUGAAGAGGAAAUUCGCACAACAAAUAUGUGAGCUUUCAAAACACCUUACGAAAGAGGUCAAGUAUCAUUAUUGCUAUUGGAUUGAUGGGGAAACUGAAGCUCGGAGCAGUGAAAUGACUCGCCCCACGUCAUC